AUUUUUCCAUUACAAAGUUCUUACAAUUUCCAGUUGGUCAUAAUUAUGUGUAGCACUAUUUCAUUCUCUUUAGAAAUCUUCAUCCUGACACAACCAUGUG